GUGAAAUUGAGUAUUUAACUUUUAACAAGAUAAUUAUUCUCAUUUUUGUGUUUUAAUUAUUAACUUGAAAAACACAUUGGAAAGGGAAAUCAUAUUUCUUUCACUUACGAAAAUGGAAAUGAAAAUAAUGAACUUCCAAAUAACCACAAAGUGAAUCAUUCUCAUUUAUUUCCAUUCCUGAAUCAAUUUUAGAUAAACCAAAUGUGGCCUUAAUCCUACCUUCUAGAUUUUUUUUCCAAUACUGCCCCUAGAAUCUUUUCUU
rnacentral:misc_RNA from 1 species